AGUGAACGCUGGCGGUAGGCCUAACACAUGCAAGUCGAACGGCAGCACAGUAAGAGCUUGCUCUUACGGGUGGCGAGUGGCGGACGGGUGAGGAAUACAUCGGAAUCUACUUUUUCGUGGGGGAUAACGUAGGGAAACUUACGCUAAUACCGCAUACGACCUACGGGUGAAAGCAGGGGAUCUUCGGACCUUGCGCGAUUGAAUGAGCCGAUGUCGGAUUAGCUAGUUGGCGGGGUAAAGGCCCACCAAGGCGACGAUCCGUAGCUGGCCUGAGAGGAUGAUCAGCCACACUGGAACUGAGACACGGUCCAGACUCCUACGGGAGGCAGCAGUGGGGAAUAGUGGACAAUGGGCGCAAGCCUGAUCCAGCCAUACUGCGUGGGUGAAGAAGGCCUUCGGGUUGUAAAGCCCUUUUGUUGGGAAAGAAAAGCAGCAGGUUAAUACCCCGCUGUUCUGACGGUACCCAAAGAAUAAGCACCGGCUAACUUCGUG
rnacentral:rRNA from 1 species